GACGUAGGGAGCAAGCGUUGUCCGGAAUCAUUGGGCGUAAAGCGCGCGUAGGUGGCCUCAUAAGUCCGCUGUGAAAGUCAAAGGCUCAACCUUUGAAAGCCGGUGGAUACUGUGAGGCUAGAGUACGGAAGAGGCGAGUGGAAUUCCUGGUGUAGCGGUGGAAUGCGCAGAUAUCAGGAGGAACACCAAUAGCGAAGGCAGCUCGCUGGGACGUUACUGACACUGAGGCGCGAAAGCGUGGGGAGCGAACAGG
rnacentral:rRNA from 1 species